UYUGACCUCAAAUCAGGUAGGACUACCCGCUGAACUUAAGC
rnacentral:rRNA from 1 species